AUUUCCUUGUGUUAAUAAGCGUAACAAAAAUGGGAGCCUGUAAUAAAUAUAAUAUUUAUUUUGAUUAUAAAUCUUUUAAUAUAAAAAAUAUAUUUGUGUACGUGUUACACGAGGUAUUAAAAGGUUAACUAUUAUGCAAUUCCUUAAUCCAUCGAACCCAACCAAUCAUUCACCUAAGACCUAAAUAUCCUAAAAAAAUCGUGACAAAAAGGAGAGCUAGUGAGUGAGCAAUGAAAAGAAUGCCAAGUACUACAGUGGCAUCAGGAUAGCAGAAAAAUAAAUCUGGCUUCCCUCGGGAUAAAGCGUUGCUUUGAAAGUUUCGCGGUCGAACGACAUGCGCACUCCAUGUCGACCAUUGAUUUUCAUUGUCAGGUGGGCUAUUAUCGGUUCAAAUGAAUGACAGCUGUCGUUUCUCUUGUUUUAUCCUCCUCCUCCCUGUUCAUCGCUGCGGACGAGAUUGCCGCGAAAUAAUAACAGAGGCUGCGUGCACCAGCACUCGUUUAUGGCGCCCCAUUAUGCCAAGAGGCGCGCCAAGGGGGCAUGGCAUUUUUUGUCAGUCGGUCGAAGGAUCAGAAAAGACCGCCUCCGUCUUCCGUUGCUCGCUUUUUUUCUACUCUUCAACUCUGGUGUUUCUCGAUCAGCGCCAUCAUUGUCUUGCAGUCGUCGUGACUCGCGGCGUAGAAGCAAUCCCGUCGCCAUUCGAAAGACAUGCUGCAUCUCAAAUUGCCAGGAGGCCAGCAACCGACAGGAGCUCAACAUCGAUGUCAAGCAUGUAUCGUUUAUUGUCAAGUUCCUCUCCCGGUUAACGUUUCGAUAUAUUGAACGUAUUGACAUGUCACGCACUCUGGUGAGCGACUUUAUAAAUUGUAUCGAUACGUGAGCCAUGAGCGGAAGCGCUGCGGUCGACGUACGGCGAUGUGCGCAACGCUGGCGCUCUUUCUAUAUGCGUAUAUUACUUACAUAUUUGAUCAUAUACAUAUAGAUAUUUUCAAAGCAUCAAGUUGUCAAAAUGAUUUAUAUAUUGGAUAAAAGGUAUCUUGAAAGAAGAUAGAAGUAGGAAUGCCAGCAAUGGAUGUUUAAAUAGAUAACGAGACACGGACUAACCGUUCAAAAGACUACUAUCCUGAUCCUGCAAGGACGAUAUGUCACGUGGUUUUGCAAUAGAGGGGAUACUAUUACAUGCUUACCCCAAAAUCUGCUCGCCUAAUACAAAACUGGUCGUCUGCUUGAAUUUUCGAUUGACGAGUAUUCGACAGCCGAUCAACAGCAACUAAUAUAUUCUUUAAAAAUAAUUAUAUGACAGGGAGCGAUACUGGUGUACGUGACUCAGCUACGCAUGUCAAGCGAAUCGAGCGAACCAGUUGCUUUUCCAUAAUAUCCAGGCAACAGGCCGGAGGCUACAGCUUCCAGCAUCCACCUCUGGAUCAACGCGGGCAUAUGGAGUAAACAAGCAUGACAUGGUAUACAUUCCUGGUAGCAUCGAAACACAAUGAGAUGUCGUAAACGCAAGAAGAUGACAGAAAAUCGAUAGGACGCCUUCCAGAUCUGAACCGACUUGCUCCUUACGAUUCUUCGCUGCUUUCUUUCAUGCUCGAAUAAACAUAGUAACGUGAUGCUGACCUGAUAUUUUUCAGACGUUGCGUGUCUUACUGCUCUCUUCUUUCAUACUCGACACUAUGCGUCAAAAAAAUAUUGAGUCGCAAUAAUAUGUAUUGGUGAAUUGGAAACUAUUACUACCCUCGAUACUAUCCUGUUACGGUGACACGUCAUAGUCGUCAUGUCUCGACAAUUUGAUGUGAAAUCGAUAAAUUGCUCGAGGCCUGUUUCCUUUACAAAUACACAUUGUACACAUGUCUUUUAUCCGUAAUUCUGUGCAAGAAUAUAUUAUUGCGUAUAUCAAACAGGUGGAUAAAACCCAUGUGAUUGAAACAGUAAUAUUUAAAUAAUAAAGUGGAAAGAACGCAUAUCUUAGUAUGUAUUUUUUUUUAAUAAAU
rnacentral:lncRNA from 1 species